rnacentral:rRNA from 1 species
GGACAGUGGCGGACGGGUGAGUAACGCGUGAGGAACCUGCCUUUCAGAGGGGGACAACAGUUGGAAACGACUGCUAAUACCGCAUGAUACGUUUUGGGGGCAUCCCUGAGACGUCAAAGAUUUAUCGCUGAAAGAUGGCCUCGCGUCUGAUUAGCUGGUUGGUGAGGUAACGGCCCACCAAGGGCGACGAUCAGUAGCCGGACUGAGAGGUUGACCGGCCACAUUGGGACUGAGAUACGGCCCAGACUCCUACGGGAGGCAGCAGUGGGGAAUAUUGGGCAAUGGGCGCAAGCCUGACCCAGCAACGCCGCGUGAAGGAAGAAGGCUUUCGGGUUGUAAACUUCUUUUAAGAGGGAAGAGCAGAAGACUGUACCUCUAGAAUAAGCCACGGCUAACUACGUGCCAGCAGCCGCGGUAAUACGUAGGUGGCAAGCGUUGUCCGGAUUUACUGGGUGUAAAGGGCGUGCAGCCGGGAAUGCAAGUCAGAUGUGAAAUCCAUGGGCUUAACCCAUGAACUGCAUUUGAAACUGUAUUUCUUGAGUACUGGAGAGGCAAUCGGAAUUCCUAGUGUAGCGGUGAAAUGCGUAGAUAUUAGGAGGAACACCAGUGGCGAAGGCGGAUUGCUGGACAGCAACUGACGGUGAGGCGCGAAAGUGUGGGGAGCAAACAGGAUUAGAUACCCUGGUAGUCCACACUGUAAACGAUGAAUACUAGGUGUGCGGGGACUGACCCCCUGCGUGCCGCAGUUAACACAAUAAGUAUUCCACCUGGGGA